rnacentral:rRNA from 1 species
GAUGAACGCUGGCGGCGUGCCUAAUACAUGCAAGUCGAGCGAACGGACGAGAAGCUUGCUUUUCUGAUGUUAGCGGCGGACGGGUGAGUAACACGUGGAUAACCUACCUAUAAGACUGGGAUAACUUCGGGAAACCGGAGCUAAUACCGGAUAAUAUUUUGAACCGCAUGGUUCAAAAGUGAAAGACGGUCUUGCUGUCACUUAUAGAUGGAUCCGCGCUGCAUUAGCUAGUUGGUAAGGUAACGGCUUACCAAGGCAACGAUGCAUAGCCGACCUGAGAGGGUGAUCGGCCACACUGGAACUGAGACACGGUCCAGACUCCUACGGGAGGCAGCAGUAGGGAAUCUUCCGCAAUGGGCGAAAGCCUGACGGAGCAACGCCGCGUGAGUGAUGAAGGUCUUCGGAUCGUAAAACUCCGUUAUUAGGGAAGAACAUAUGUGUAAGUAACUGUGCACAUCUUGACGGUACCUAAUCAGAAAGCCACGGCUAACUACGUG